rnacentral:rRNA from 1 species
GACGAACGCUGGCCGCGUGCUUAACACAUGCAAGUCGAACGAUGAAGCCCAGCUUGCUGGGUGGAUUAGUGGCGAACGGGUGAGUAACACGUGGGCAACCUGCCCCAAACUCUGGGAUAACUCCUCGAAAGAGGUGCUAAUACCGGAUACGAACUAGGUAGACAUCUGCACUAGUUGGAAAGUUUUUCGGUUUGGGAUGGGCCCGCGGCCUAUCAGCUUGUUGGUGAGGUAACGGCUCACCAAGGCUACGACGGGUAACCGGCCUGAGAGGGGGACCGGUCACACUGGGACUGAGACACGGCCCAGACUCCUACGUGAGGCAGCAGUGGGGAAUAUUGCGCAAUGGGCGAAAGCCUGACGCAGCGACGCCGCGUGAGGGAUGAAGGUCUUCGGAUCGUAAACCUCUUUCAGUAGGGACGAAGCGAAAGUGACGGUACCUAAAGAAGAAGCACCGGCUAACUACGUGCCAGCCGCCGCCGUAA